rnacentral:rRNA from 1 species
UCCCGGGCCACCCGGCCUGCGGCGGAAUGUUGCGUAAAGGGAAAUGUCGUAUUCAAACCCUGCAACCACACGAACUCUAAGUAAGCCACGAAUAGGCUGUCCCAACUAACGGCGGGAAAGACUCCACGGAGGGUGUAAGACCCGUGUGGGCGUGUGUCUAUGUUGCAUGGGUUCGGCAUCUUCUCUGAGAGUCGCGUUGCUUGGGCAUGCAGCGCUAAGCAGGUCGUAAACUUGAUCUAAGACUAAAUAUUUCCACAAGACCGAUAGCAAACAAGUACCUUGAGGGAAAGUUGAAAAGCACUCUGAAGAGAGAGUCAAAAGACCGUGAAACCGUUCAGAGUAUAAGCCCAUGGCGCUUGGAAGGCUUCCGCAGUAAAACGUGGGGAUUCACGUCUCUACACGUUAGUCCGUUGAAUUGGUUCGUUAGGUCGUGAGCGUUGACUCGUUUCUGGCCGUCGACCGGGGGGUUGCUUCGCUCGGAUUUGUUUUCGUGCGGGCUGCUUCUUUAGGUUGGACGUUCUGGUCAGUGGUUCUAUAGCUGCGGUUCAUGCCCACCACAGUUCGUUGUGAGGUCACCCACAGGCUCAAACUGUCGAUCGCGUGUUCGAUCCUUGCCGCUAAGGACGUUAAUGUUGGAGAGAGGAAUUCUCUCCUCUCUCUCUCCUCUCCGAGGCACAGGUGUCGGGCCGGGCGGCGAAACGAGUAUAUCCUGGUAUGAUCCUCUUGCGACGAUCUGAUUCUGACCGAGUUCUAAUUGCUACUGGCUCCGCUCCAACUUCGAGCGGAACCUCACCAGUAGUAAGCCGUUCGGUCCUCUGGACGAUGUUAAAGUCGGCAAGACCCCGGUGAGGCAAUGAUAUGACACUCGCGUGGUGACAAGUCCGGCACCAUCGGUCACGUCUCGAAACACGGGCCAAGGAGUAUAGCAUGUGUGCAAGUCUAAGGGUGUCACAAAACCUGAAGGCAUAGUGAAAGCAAAGUUGUGGCGAGUACGCUUCGGCACUCUCGUCAGCUGAGUGACAGUUUACUGUUGUCUGGCUUAAGCCGAGCUGAUUCUGUUCCGUUGACUCGAUUGUCUCAAGGCAGACGCAAGCUCCGGGCUCAUAUGUCAACACUGGUGUAAUUCAUUUUGCGCUGUGUGGUGAGCACCGUGGAGCAUGCAUGCUAUAACCCGAAAGAUAGUGAACUAUGCCUGGCGAGGGCGAAGCCCCAGGAAACUGGGGUGGAGGCCCGUAGCCG